CUCGCCACCAGAGGAUAGGAGGGUAGCCCAGUGAUGCGGCGGGAGGCUUUAGGUAGCUCCUGCCUCGCUGGCCUCCAGCCUAUGUGUGCCCACCCUCCACGCGUCCCCAGCACCGCAGGGAAGCCAUCCGACGCGUUAACCUUUCCCUGGCUAUUCCAAGCAAGGCAAAGGGCCAAGCGUCUAGGACUCUGGUCUUCUCUGCACCUGUGCCUAUCUCACCUGGGUCACGCUUGGUCUCCAUAUCCUCAUCCUGGCCCCCACCCGCGUCCCCUAGCUCCGCUGGAGUAGUGAGGAAACUUUCUUAAUUCCAGAAUUUCCUUGGGCCACUUGAGAGGCAAGGCAACAUGAAGACAACCAGAGGCCACCUCGGGGGCGGGGCACAAAUGAAAUUCACAGGUAGAGGAAAAGACAGAGGACACACUCCUAAGGGAAGAGGCAAUAGGAGCAGAACGGAGGAGGGGAAAGAGCAGAGCGUGAAAAGUCAAGGUUUCAGGGCCUUUUUUGGUAGGAGGCCUGUGAUAAAGUUCUUGACUGAACAACCUGGCCUUCUAGAGAAAACCUUCCCACUGAGACAACUCUCCUGCUGGAGGGUAGUCUUUCAGAGCAGCGGCCUGCAGAAAGGAAGAGGUGUCAUCCUUGAAUGGAUCUAAUCAGAGAGGGUGCUGGCCUCAGAGAGAGAGGGGGGCGGGGGGCGCGCUCGGCUUUUCCUCAUACCUCUGAGAGACCCCACUUCCUGGGUUCACUGUCUACUGUCUGGUUGCUCAUGCCUGAUGACUCAACAUAUGCCAAAUAAAGGAUACCCAAGUGGGCAGGAUUACUGGG
ensembl:processed_transcript predicted gene 14207